rnacentral:lncRNA from 1 species
UGUUAUAAAUUGAUUUGCAUUUUCAUGAGGGAAAUACGUAUUUGACCCCCUCUCAAUCAGAAAGAUUUCUGGCUCCCAGGUGUCUUUUAUACAGGUAAUGAGCUGAGAUUAGGAGCACACUCUUAAAAUGGUGUAAAAUAGUCAUAUGUUUGAGAAAUUGAAGUUAUAGCAUUUUUUAGGUAUUUGUAUUUGGCGCCACGUUCUACCAUUGGAUAUUGGUGAGGCGUUCCGGCUGCGGAACGUCUGUCCUUUAACCACUGAAUGUGUCAUCAGUAGGUGUUAACCACUGAAUGUGUCAUCAGUAGGUGUUAACCACUGAAUGUGUCGUCAGUAGGCGUUAACCACUGAAUGUGUCGUCAGUAGGUGUUAACCACUGAAUGUGUCAUCAGUAGGUGUUAACCACUGAAUGUGUCAUCGGUAGGUGUUAACCACUGAAUGUGUCAUCGGUAGGCGUUAACCACUGAAUGGGUCAUCGGUAGGUGUUAACCACUGAAUGUGUCGUCAGUAGGUGUUAACCACUGAAUGUGUCAUCAGUAGGUGUUAACCACUGAAUGUGUCAUCAGUAGGUGUUAACCACUGAAUGUGUCGUCAGUAGGUGUUAACCACUGAAUGUGUCAUCUUCAGUAGGUGUUAACCACUGAAUGUGUCAUCAGUAGGUGUUAACCACUGAAUGUGUCAUCAUCAGUAGGUGUUAACCACUGAAUGUGUCAUCUUCAGUAGGUGUUAACCACUGAAUGUGUCAUCUUCAGUAGGUGUUAACCACUGAAUGUGUCGUCAGUAGGUGUUAACCACUGAAUGUGUCAUCAGUAGGUGUUAACCACUGAAUGUGUCGUCAGUAGGUGUUAACCACUGAAUGUGUCGUCAGUAGGUGUUAACCACCGAAUGUGUCGUCAGUAGGUGUUAACCACUGAAUGUGUCGUCGGUAGGUGUUAACCACUGAAUGUGUCGUCGGUAGGUGUUAACCACUGAAUGUGUCGUCGGUAGGUGUUAACCACUGAAUGUGUCGUCGGUAGGUGUUAACCACUGAAUGUGUCGUCGGUAGGCGUUAACCACUGAAUGUGUCAUCAGUAGGUGUAGGCCACAAUGAGUUAGCAGAAAGGAAAAUGGAGGGUAUAAAGGGGGCAAUUUUGGGGUACGACUCUCUUUGAGGUUCCUAGAAGAAUCUGUUGACUGCUGGAAGAAGAUUUUUGCUCUAGUUUUUUAGCUUAAAAUAUAUUUUGAUUUUAAAGUAAAAUUCUAGGAGGAUUCCUUAAGUUUACCCCAUUGAUAGAAAUGUGUUAAAGUAACGUUUUAGAUGCCAUCUGAGGGACUGAUCAUCCUGAGAGCCAAAUAAAAAACAUUUAUAAAGUUGUAGAAUGUAAGAAACUGUUUUUCUUGUUAUUAACAAUUGUGCUUCACAUAAAAUUGUAAUAGACAAUAAAUAUUGUAUUGGCAUCCCCACAAUGGUUGAGUUAAGGGCUGUGACGGGGUCGAUCAAUUUUAUUUACUGUUGAUGUUCGCUUAUCAUUGAUUGGUGAUAUUGAUUUGGUAUUGAUUGAUUGAUCUGGGAUUGUUUAUGCCUGUUUCUGGAAUUUUGAAUAAACUUGCUUUAUUGUUCUGAA